GACGAACGCUGGCGGCGUGCUUAACACAUGCAAGUCGAACGGAAAGGCCCUGCUUUUGUGGGGUGCUCGAGUGGCGAACGGGUGAGUAACACGUGAGUAACCUGCCCUUGACUUUGGGAUAACUUCAGGAAACUGGGGCUAAUACCGGAUAGGAGCUCCUGCUGCAUGGUGGGGGUUGGAAAGUUUCGGCGGUUGGGGAUGGACUCGCGGCUUAUCAGCUUGUUGGUGGGGUAGUGGCUUACCAAGGCUUUGACGGGUAGCCGGCCUGAGAGGGUGACCGGCCACAUUAGGACUGAGAUACGGCCAGACUCCUACGGGAGGCAGCAGUGGGGAAUAUUGCACAAUGGGCGGAAGCCUGAUGCAGCAACGCCGCGUGCGGGAUGACGGCCUUCGGGUUGUAAACCGCUUUCGCCUGUGACGAAGCGUGAGUGACGGUAAUGGGUAAAGAAGCACCGGCUAACUACGUG
rnacentral:rRNA from 1 species